UACGUAGGGUGCGAGCGUUAAUCGGAAUUACUGGGCGUAAAGCGUGCGCAGGCGGCUUUUUAAGCCAGAUGUGAAAUCCCCGGGCUUAACCUGGGAACUGCAUUUGGAACUGGAAGGCUAGAGUGCGGCAGAGGGGGGUAGAGUUCCACGUGUAGCGGUGAAAUGCGUAGAUAUGUGGAGGAAUACCGGUGGCGAAGGCGGCCUCCUGGCUUAAUACUGACGCUGAGGUGCGAAAGCGUGGGGAUCAAACAGG
rnacentral:rRNA from 1 species